UCCCUCAGUGCCUUGCUACUGCGUCAGUGCUAUAAACUGGACCAAGUGGGUUGAAAAUGGACAGAAAUUGAUCUUGAUCACUUUAGAUAUUUUAUGACAAAGAAAAAAAAAGUAAUUUCUGUCCAGUUAAAAUCCAUUUGAGCCAGUUUAAGGGAAUUGCGCAGAGCUGGAGCCUGAGGUCGGUAAAGCCAAGAAGAUGGCUGAAGACUAUGCUGACUCAAGCCCAGACAAGGAUCCAGAUUCCCUUCCUCCUCGACUUCACCUGGACCUGUGGCGACUGGAAGCCUUGAGAUGUGAUGAGAAAACUGAGGCUCAGAGAGGUCCCAUGAUUUGUCCAAGGCCAUAAAUCUUCUUCACCACGAGGCACAGAAUCGGCUCUAGAAGUGUUUCAGAAAAUACUGCCACCAUUUUGUGGCCUGGAGAGAUCCCUGCUAGUCAUCAGCUUCUGGCUUUCCUGUUAUCCUGCUGCCCCACAGAAUGCAGUUACUAAGUGGCCUAAGAGCCAGCACCUUCACGGAGUGGUGAAGGUAAGGCCAUCCUCCCCUUCUUUUCUAUUUUCUG